CGACUAAUAACUCCACGUUCCAUAUUUAAAGACGUACGGGGCAUUUCUUAAUUCAGUUUUAACAAGACAGUGGCACGUGCAUUUCGGUCGCCAUGAAUACGCUCCUCUUCCUUCUCGUACUUGCCAGCGCCACGGCUCUCAAAUUACCUAACUACGUAAAGAAAUGCUCCAUUAAGGACCAUAAUUUCAACACGUGUGCCCUGGAGAGCGCCAAAUAUGCUUUGCCACAUCUCAUCAAAGGUUGGUGUUUCCAAGUUCCAGCAGUGUUCUCACAUUAAUUUCUGAAACUAGUAUCAAAAAUAAAUGCAAGUUUCUUUUAAUUACUUACAUACCUGAAUGCAUGUCUUUCAAAUAAAUUAUCUGAUUUCGGAA